rnacentral:rRNA from 1 species
UACGUAGGGGGCAAGCGUUGUCCGGAAUCAUUGGGCGUAAAGCGCGCGUAGGCGGCCAGAUUAGUCCGGUGUGAAAGUCAGAGGCUCAACCUUUGAAUGCCGCUGGAAACUGUCUGGCUUGAGUCCGGAAGGGGCGAGUGGAAUUCCUGGUGUAGCGGUGAAAUGCGCAGAUAUCAGGGGGAACACCAAUGGCGAAGGCAGCUCGCUGGAACGGUACUGACGCUGAGGCGCGAAAGCGUGGGGAGCAAACAGG